rnacentral:lncRNA from 1 species
GUUCAAGGAGGGCGACCCAGCAGGCGCCUCCCCAGCCUGCAGGCGAGACGAGUCUAAGCGGACCCCCAGGCGCCCAACGUUUGGAGAGUUCCUGCCUGAGCAGCAGCGUGGCCGGCGCAGGGGCGGCAGAGGCUGUGGGCGCCCGCGGGGUGGAGCCUCCAAGCCCUACAGUAUGCACGACAAUCGCUGGGAGAGGGAGGAGCCCGCGCCAGCCACAGCCCCCUCGGGGAAGAAGACGGACCUCGCCACCAAGCAGCAGGUGCGGCGGGCCGAGGGGG